CCUACGGGCGGCAGCAGUGAGGAAUAUUGGUCAAUGGACGCAAGCCUGAACCAGCCAUGUCGCGUGCAGGAAGACGGCUCUAUGAGUUGUAAACUGCUUUUGUACGAGGGUAAACGCGGAUACGCGUAUCUGUCUGAAAGUAACCUACAAAUAAGGAUCGGCUAACUCCGUGCCAGCAGCCGCGGUAAUACGGAGGAUUCAAGCGUUAUCCGGAUUUAUUGGGGUUAAAGGGUGCGUAGGCGGUAGGAUAAGGUAGAGGUGAAAUAUCGAGGCUCAACCUCGGAAUUGCCUCUGAUACUGUUCGUCUUGAGAGUAGUAGAGGUAGGCGGAAUGUAUGGUGUAGCGGUGAAAUGCUUAGAGAUCAUACAGAACACCGAUUGCGAAGGCAGCUUACCGGGCUACUUCUGACGUUGAGGCACGAAAGCGUGGGGAGCAAACAGGAUUAGAUACCCGAGUAGUC
rnacentral:rRNA from 1 species